ACUUGCUCCGGAUUAAUGUUCAAAUGCCCACUACUAUUGACUAACUCAGAUGUCCAAGGACCUCAACUAACUUUAUUGAGUCGCGCUAUUAUCAAACACGGACAUUUGUUCGUCCUGAUUGCAGUUUAAGUCAAAAUGACCGAUAACUCUGGACCGGAACAGGCUAAAGGCAAGGAAGCAAUGGUUGGUGUGGAGGCGGAUGUGAAGACUCUUCAGUUGCUCAGCUCUUCGACCAAGGCUGCAAUUGAUAAGAGAGAAAGGAUUAAGAAUGAAAAAGUCAAGCUCACCCUCGAGGAAGCUAUUCAUAUAGGACUCACAGAGCAGAACCAGAUGGGUUCAAACAAAA
rnacentral:sRNA from 1 species